GCCCCAUUGGCCUAGUGAAUAUGGCGUCUGACUUCGACUUUGACAAGAAGUAUAUCAGAAGGUCGUCGGUUUGAAUCCGGCAUGGGGCU